rnacentral:rRNA from 1 species
UUCCGGUUGAUCCUGCCGGACCCUACUGCUAUCGGGGUGGGACUAAGACAUGCGAGUCGUGCGUCUCUAAGCCAUGGUAGAGACGCGGCAUACGGCUCAGUAACACGUGGCUAACCUACCCUUAGGACGGGGACACCCCCGGGAAACCGCGCGCAGGCACAUAACCACCUUUUUCGGCACGCUCAAAGCAUGGCUAUGUACGCACAUAGUUCGUGUAAAACCGCUUUCCUUGACGGAAAAACCUAACCUAAGAAGCUUUGAGCCAACCAUUCACGAUAACACAUCACCGCCAACAGAAAUACAGAAGCACUGGCGUGGCCCAAAACUGGGGUUAAUACCCGAUAGGUGAGGAGGCCUGGAAUGGUUCUUCACCGAAAAGACGUUGAGACCAUGCUUCUCAACGUUGCCUAAGGAUGGGGCCGCGGCCGAUCAGGUUGUUGGUGAGGUAACGGCUCACCAAGCCUAUAACCGGUACGGGCUGUGAGAGCAGGAGCCCGGAGAUGGGCACUGAGACAAGGGCCCAGGCCCUACGGGGCGCAGCAGUCGCGAAAACUCCGCAAUGCGCGAAAGCGUGACGGGGCUACCCCGAGUGCCGUCCGCUGAGGAUGGCUUUUCCCCGGUGUAAUGAGCCGGGGGAAUAAGGAGAGGGCAAGCCUGGUGUCAGCCGCCGCGGUAAUACCAGCUCUCCGAGUGGUAGGGACGAUUAUUGGGCUUAAAGCGUCCGUAGCCGGCCCAGCAAGUCUCCCGUUAAAUCCAGCGACCUAAUCGUUGGGCUGCGGAAGAUACUGUUGGGCUAGGGGGCGGGAGAGGCCGACGGUAUUCCCGGGGUAGGGGUGAAAUCCUAUAAUCCCGGGAGGACCACCAGUGGCGAAGGCUGUCGGCUAGAACGCGCUCGACGGUGAGGGACGAAAGCUGGGGGAGCGAACCGGAUUAGAUACCCGGGUAGUCCCAGCCGUAAACGAUGCGGGCUAGGUGUUGGGGUGGCUACGAGCCACCUCAGUGCCGCAGGGAAGCCAUUAAGCCCGCCGCCUGGGGAGUACGGCCGCAAGGCUGAAACUUAAAGGAAUUGGCGGGGGAGCACCACAAGGCGUGAAGCUUGCGGUUUAAUUGGAUUCAACGCCGG